ACAUCAGCUAAAUCAGUGGUUCCCAACCUUUAUUCCUUGGCGCUCCCCGUACGUACAGUACGUCUAAGAAAAGCUGAGCUGGCCAACUAAGAAACCUU